GAUUGAUUGGAUUGGCUCUGAAAUUCCCUCAACAGUGAGAAUAAAUCCAGGAGAAGAUGAUUUCUCCUAAGGAAUGUGGGACUCAGCUUCCUGACCAGGAAUUGAACCGGCACCCCCUGCAUUGGAAGGCAAAGUCUUAACCACUGGACCACCAGGGAAGUCCCCUAGUUUCAUGCUUCUUUAGCUUCAUUUAUAUCCUUCCAGUUAUGGUUCUGCUUCAGCAUCAAGAUUCUUCAAGUGUGUCCCACUAAGACCUCUAUAAACCAUUCAAGAAUGGAGAAGAUGGAGCCACAAUGGAAGAAAAUC